AGGGUUCGAUUCUGGCUCAGGAUGAACGCUGGCGGCGUGCUUAACACAUGCAAGUCGAACGGGAUCCACCGGGCUUUGCUUGGUGGUGAGAGUGGCGAACGGGUGAGUAAUGCGUGACCGACCUGCCCCAUACACCGGAAUAGCUCCUGGAAACGGGUGGUAAUGCCGGAUGCUCCAGUUGAUCGCAUGGUCUUCUGGGAAAGCUUUCGCGGUAUGGGAUGGGGUCGCGUCCUAUCAGCUUGACGGCGGGGUAACGGCCCACCGUGGCUUCGACGGGUAGCCGGCCUGAGAGGGCGACCGGCCACAUUGGGACUGAGAUACGGCCCAGACUCCUACGGGAGGCAGCAGUGGGGAAUAUUGCACAAUGGGCGCAAGCCUGAUGCAGCGACGCCGCGUGAGGGAUGGAGGCCUUCGGGUUGUAAACCUCUUUUAUCGGGGAGCAAGCGAGAGUGAGUUUACCCGUUGAAUAAGCACCGGCUAACUACGUGCCAGCAGCCGCGGUAAUACGUAGGGUGCAAGCGUUAUCCGGAAUUAUUGGGCGUAAAGGGCUCGUAGGCGGUUCGUCGCGUCCGGUGUGAAAGUCCAUCGCUUAACGGUGGAUCCGCGCCGGGUACGGGCGGGCUUGAGUGCGGUAGGGGAGACUGGAAUUCCCGGUGUAACGGUGGAAUGUGUAGAUAUCGGGAAGAACACCAAUGGCGAAGGCAGGUCUCUGGGCCGUUACUGACGCUGAGGAGCGAAAGCGUGGGGAGCGAACAGGAUUAGAUACCCUGGUAGUCCACGCCGUAAACGGUGGAUGCUGGAUGUGGGGCCCGUUCCACGGGUUCCGUGUCGGAGCUAACGCGUUAAGCAUCCCGCCUGGGGAGUACGGCCGCAAGGCUAAAACUCAAAGAAAUUGACGGGGGCCCGCACAAGCGGCGGAGCAUGCGGAUUAAUUCGAUGCAACGCGAAGAACCUUACCUGGGCUUGACAUGUUCCCGACGGUCGUAGAGAUGCGGCUUCCCUUCGGGGCGGGUUCACAGGUGGUGCAUGGUCGUCGUCAGCUCGUGUCGUGAGAUGUUGGGUUAAGUCCCGCAACGAGCGCAACCCU
rnacentral:rRNA from 1 species